GACGAACGCUGGCGGCGUGCUUAACACAUGCAAGUCGAACGGAAAGGCCCUGCUCUUGUGGGGUGCUCGAGUGGCGAACGGGUGAGUAACACGCGAGUAACCUGCCCUUGACUUUGGGAUAACUUCAGGAAACUGGGGCUCAUACCGGAUAGGAGCUCCUGCUGCAUGGUGGGGGUUGGAAAGUUUCGGCGGUUGUGGAUGGACUCGCGGCUUAUCAGCUUGUUGGUGGGGUAGUGGAUUACCAAGGCUUUGACGGGUAGCCGGCCUGAGAGGGUGACCGGCCACAAUGGGACUGAGAUACGGCGCAGACGCCUACGGGAGGCAGCAGUGGGGAAUAUUGCACAGUGGGCGGAAGCCAGAUGCAGCAACGCCGCGUGCGGGAUGACGGCCUUCGGGGGGUAAACCGCUUUCGCCUGUGACGAAGCGGGAGUGACGGUAAUGGGUAAAAAAGCACCGGCUAACUACGUG
rnacentral:rRNA from 1 species